CGAAAAAUUUACAAAUGUAAUAGUAUAGUAAUAUUAUUAGAAUUUGUAAUAAUUUUAUUUAUGUUAUAAUUUAAAAUAAUUUAAUGAAUUCAUUGAAAAAAUUGUUAUAUCAUUUUUUUUUUUACUAGUAAGCAUUUUUGAAGGACGAUCUAAAAUUUGUAGAUAUUACGAUCGAAUGUUAAUACAGACUUUGUUCUCGUGAAAGUGUAAAUAUCUCAUGCUAAUCUCUCUGUCUCUCUCUUCCUCUACUCGGAUUCCUUCUUCUAUCUUGUUCGCAAUUCGUGGAGGGAAACACGAAGACGAAGACGAAGACGAAGACGGAGACUUCGGGAGACUCUUAACUCAUGGAUGUAAGGAUCGUGGGAUAGAAGAGCUCGAAUAAAGCUUGUCACGUGUCACCUGCGAAAGGGAUACUUGUAGGAUUCUUACUAUGGAUGGAUAAUUAACGAUAGUGUUAGACAAGAUUUAUGGCAAAAUAUAUUCGUUAACAUUUUUUAUGGAAUUUAUAUGAAGAUAUGAAGAGAAAUUGCAAUAUAGAUUAUUAAGCAAAUUAUAAAUAUAGAAAGAUAUUUCAAGAGAUAAUCUUUCUUCUCUCUUGGUCGAUAAAGAUCGAAGGAAGCGAUACGCAGGCGAUAGGUUUUGACAGAAAGGCAAAGUAAGAUCAUCGAUCCAGCAGACGCAGGCGCAAACAGGUUGCUGUGGUUGAGAGCGCGCCAGGGGAAGAUCGUGAAAGCACGAACAGGUUCGCAGGAGGUUCCAGAGAAGAGUGAGCACGCCCGCGAACAGGUUCGAGUAACGUCCUCUCGCGAGUAUAUAGGAACAAAAGAUAAUAGCUCGCGCAUACUCGGACCAAGCGAAUGUAUUCUCGAGUAUCAAGUCAAAAUGAUGAUGAUGGGUUUGAACGACGUCGACGCCUCGAAGCUAAAGAGAGAAGAAAAGGAGAUGAGUUUCAGAUAAAUGUGCAAUCAGAAAAAGAGAUAAAGAGAACGAGAAAGAGAGAGAGAGAGAUGACAGAUUAUACAAUAUUGCCAGCUAACAUCAGAGCUAAGUUCCCGGAAGCAUGAGGUCAUCUCUGGCGAGCUAACAACUUCCUCCUAACUCCAAAAUGAAGAUGCUUUCUCUUGGGAACCAAAACGAACGAUUGCGAUUCGACGUUUCCAAGAGAAACAAUCUACGUUGAGACCUGAAAAACCAAGUGUUACCAAGAGUGCCUAGAUCGACUGGACAGAAGCAUCCAUUAAAAAUUAUAAGAAUACGAGCUCGUUAUCAUCGUAUUAAUAAUAAUUCAUCGGAAGAGAAAUAACGUUGAGAUUGACCGGAGAUUGACGGGGGAAGAAUAAUAUACAAGACAAAGGAGUCCCAUAUGAAGGCACACGCACGGAAGUCAACUGUCCAUGGACGACAAAUCGUUUAACUCCAAUAUGACUCACGCUACGCUUCGUUGGAUAAUAUAAUUAUUCUUCGAGUUAAUCAAAGCAGUUUGAAAUCUUAUCAGAAGGAUGGGAACACUUGGAAAUCAUCGGACCUACAUCUUUAGAACCAUAGAAUACAGAAUUAUUAUCAAGAGUAUAUGAAACAAUAGGAAAUCAUGUAUAUCAUAAGAAAAUGCAUUUAUUUGUAAAAUGUAACUGCGAAAAAGUGAGAAUGAUAGAGAGAGAGAGAGAGAGAGAGAGAGAGAGAGAGAGAGAGAGAG